rnacentral:rRNA from 1 species
AUGAUCAUGCAGAAUUUGAACAUGCUGAGUUCCAUCAUUUUCCUACUUUUCGUCCCUAUCCUGCCCAUGGUUGUCGCCUACCCCUCCACUGCGGCUCCCUCAAAUCUCUGGAAAAUAUCUAGUAUGCAAACCAGAGUAGCCAUGUCAGGAAAUCCCAGUGCCCUUGUCAUUCUUGAGAGUGGCAGCACCUCAUACCGACUUCUUUUUGGCUUCUACACCAUGGACGGCAAUGCAUUCACUCUCUCUGUCUUGCUCAUGGGAGCCCAGCCUCCGGCCAUCUGGUCUGCUAACCCUGGUGAUCCCGUGAGCCAGGAUGCCAUGUUGAACUUCACCAGCGAUGGGAAUAUGCUGCUCAGCGACGGGGAUGGCACCGUUAUCUGGUCAACAGCCACAAAGAGCAAGUCAGUCGCAGGCUUGCGGCUAGAUGUCUCCGGAAACCUUGUGUUGUUUGAUCAGAAAAAUUCCUCUGUUUGGCAGUCGUUUGACCACCCAACAGAUACAUUGGUCCUGGGACAAUCGCUCUGCAGGGGCAUGAACAUAAGUGUAAAACCCUCCAAAACAAAAUGGCCAUCUGCUCGGAUUUAUCUUUCUGCAGAGUUUGGUGGACUGCAGUAUUCAUCUCAACCAGCAAACUAUUCACAAUCGUUCACUGAAGUUGCUAGCACGAAAUCAGACUGUUAUGCAUUUGUCAAUGGCAGCUUUGGGUUCCCAAAUCAGGUUUUCUGGCUGCCGCAAGCAAGAUCAUUGCAAUACAUGCGGUUAGAGUCCGAUGGACAUUUGAGGCUUUACGAGAUGCAGGGCUACUCAAGCCCGCGGCUUCGGUUUGAUGUAUUAAGCCUAGCCAUGAAAUUUUGUGAUUACCCAUUCGCAUGCGGUGAUUAUGGUGUUUGCAGUGAUGGGCAGUGCUCUUGCCCUAGUUUGAGCUACUUUAGGUCAAACAAUGAACGGCAUCCAGAUGCUGGUUGCACACUCUUAACCACCAUCUCCUGCAACCGUGCGCACAACCAUCAGUUGCUACCACUCGGUAACGUUUCUUACUUCAGUGACAACAUGUUCCGGAAAUUGGCCAUUUCAAGUUCCUCAGAAGAGGUCUGCAAGCAAGCUUGCUUAAUGGAUUGUGCUUGCAGAGUCACCAUUUUCCAGUAUUACGGACCGAAUUAUUACAGUAAUGGUGGUAACUGCUUGUUGUUAUCAGAGCAAAAACUAAUUUCGCUGGCAGAAGGUUCGUCCGAUGGAUGUUCAGCAUACAUCAAGAUACAAGGCACACGAUCAAUCAAAAAAAGGAUCACAACUAUAGUUUGUUCAAUAAUUGCAGGUUUGUCUGCAUUAGGAAUCUUGUUCUCCGCCGUCAUAUGGAAAAUGUGCAAGAAAGAGGAAGAACAGCUCUUUGAUAGCAUACCCGGGACACCAAAGAGUUUCUCCUUUCACGAGUUGAAGGUAGCUACCAGCAACUUCUCUUUGAAGCUUGGAAGUGGUGGCUUUGGGUUAGUCUUCAAAGGAAAGAUAGGCAGGGAAACAAUCGCAGUCAAACGUUUGGAAAGUGUUCAGCAAGGAACUGAGGAGUUCUUAGCAGAGGUCAUGACAAUUGGGAGAAUGCAUCACCAUAAUCUUGUCAGGUUGAUAGGAUUUUGUGCAGAGAAGUCGCACAGGUUUCUUGUCUACGAGUACAUGUGCAAUGGUUCAUUGGAUAAAUGGAUCUUUCAUGCAUGUUCAGUUUUCACUGUCUUGGAAAACUAG